rnacentral:piRNA from 1 species
UUUCGUAUCAUUACACAGGAG